GGCCCCAUAGCUCAGUGGUUAGAGCAGUCGACUCAUAAUCGAUUGGUCGUCCGUUCAAGUCGGACUGGGGCCA
rnacentral:tRNA from 1 species